rnacentral:rRNA from 1 species
ACGAACGCUGGCGGCGCGCCUAACACAUGCAAGUCGAACGGAGCAUUUAAGCUUGCUUAGAUGCUUAGUGGCGAACGGGUGAGUAACGCGUGAGCAAUCUGCCUCAGAGUGGGGGACAACAGUUGGAAACGACUGCUAAUACCGCAUAAGCCCACAGAACCGCAUGGUUCAGCGGGAAAAGAUUUAUCGCUUUGAGAUGAGCUCGCGUCUGAAUAGCUAGUUGGUGAGGUAACGGCCCACCAAGGCGACGAUCAGUAGCCGGACUGAGAGGUUGAACGGCCACAUUGGGACUGAGACACGGCCCAGACUCCUACGGGAGGCAGCAGUGGGGAAUAUUGCACAAUGGGGGAAACCCUGAUGCAGCGACGCCGCGUGGAGGAAGAAGGUCUUCGGAUUGUAAACUCCUGUUGUUAGGGACGAUAAUGACGGUACCUAACAAGGAAGUGACGGCUAACUACGUGCCAGCCGCCGCGGUAAUAC